rnacentral:tRNA from 1 species
CAGUGUGUAGUUUAUAUAAAAAUUUAGGUUUUGGGUAUCUAUGAUCUCUUUUAUGAGCGUGCUGA